GUUUUAAAUAACCUAAACAUGAACCUUUUUUCUUUUUUAUACACCCUAUAAAUAAAUAUCUUUUGAUAAUUUAUUCGGAAGUCAAAGUUUACAUAACAUUUGCUGGGAAUUCUAACCAAAAUAUGUAUAUACGUUGACAAUUUGUACUGCUAAGCAAAACAAUACUCUGCGACAAAAUACCCGCUCUUUCUUAAAAACAAAACUAUAUUAAAUCUCUUUAAAUAAAGAUUAGAAAUAUACGUAAACGUCACCAAAAAAUCUUAUCUCACAAAUUACCCACUGAUUUCGCAAUUUAUUUCUGCAGGAUUCUUAGUGGUAGUUCAUUGUUUUGCUUGUCAUCUGUUCAGGAGCUCAUGAACUUGUGGUUUCUUUGGCAGCACUGAAAGUUCAUGAGGAAGGCAAAGAGAGGAGUUUCGGAUCGUUUUAUCUAUGACACAUAUAACAAAUCUAAUCACACUUUUCCAGGUGUUUUUCAACGCAUUUACUCGUACAUUAACUGCCACUUCUAAUUUAUUAGGGAAUCCUAUAGUAUGGCAUCAUUUCUUGAACUGUAACGAUGACAAAAUUUGGAAAUCAGAGGCGUCCUCAACAGUUUUCCUUACAUUCUCUCAACACACACGGGUGCAAUGCAAAAAGCAAAGAGGAUUACGAACGUUUAAUCUCUGAGCAAAAGAUGAGCAAUGCCCAAAUGACCGAUGUGAAUCGUUGCACCGAUGUUACUUCCUAUGCCGUAAUGGCUGAAAUGUCGCAUUUUAUAGAAGAACGUGAUACACAUAUGAAACAGGCGUUUAAAUAAUUUAUAAAAGGGCAAAUUAAGUUCUAUUCAAAUGUCGUUAAUCAGCUGCAAGGAGGAAUAUAAUUUACAAUCGAAGAAAUGCUUAAUGCUAUUCCAGCAGCAAAUACUACAUACAUAUUGUGGCGAACACGAUUACUAGAACAAAUCAGAGUCGACGAUAAACUGCUAGAACCAACUGGACAGCGAAUUAGUAGUUGCUAGAAUCGUCUACAGGCGAUGUUUUGUUAAUUUACAUUACAUUGUUACAUUGUUGAAAUUAGAAAUAAAGACAAGUUUAUAGCAUUAAAUUAGGACUUGAAUUUAAAAUCCAUUGAUCGAAUUCAAGAAUGAGUUACAAGGUAUACGAUUUAUCGAGAAAUCCGUUACGAUAGGCUGCUUUCAAGGACCCAUCGAGGCAACAAAACGAUGAAAGGCAUCUCCCCAUUGGUCUUUUGAAUUUGCUGAGCAGCCAGAAGUCACAGGGAGCAUAAUUAGGCGAAUAAGGUAGUUGCGGAAAAAUACGAAUCGAGUUUUUGGCAAAAUACCCGCGAAGAACUAAUGUAGUAUGACAUGGUGCCUUAUCGUGAUGAAAGCACCAAAUCAUAUUUUUUAUGUAUAUAGAAUUAUAAUUGUAGUAGCUGUCUUCGAUUGGUCAUUUCUUUUCUCUCUUGUCAAAAAUUUUACAUGAGAUAACAACAACAAAGUUAUCGAGUUGAAUUAAAGCAGGAGAGUAUGCGGAUACCUCAUUAAAGUGGCAUAGCUUCUACCUUCAAUGCUGCCAACUUUUGUUUUGCAUAUUUUAGCUAAUUUUUACUGUUUUGAA